AUUGAACGCUGGCGGCAGGCCUAACACAUGCAAGUCGAGCGGAUGAAGAGAGCUUGCUCUCUGAUUUAGCGGCGGACGGGUGAGUAAUGCCUAGGAAUCUGCCUGGUAGUGGGGGAUAACGUUCCGAAAGGAACGCUAAUACCGCGUACGUCCUACGGGAGAAAGCAGGGGACCUUCGGGCCUUGCGCUAUCAGAUGAGCCUAGGUCGGAUUAGCUAGUUGGUGAGGUAAUGGCUCACCAAGGCGACGAUCCGUAACUGGUCUGAGAGGAUGAUCAGUCACACUGGAACUGAGACACGGUCCAGACUCCUACGGGAGGCAGCAGUGGGGAAUAUUGGACAAUGGGCGAAAGCCUGAUCCAGCCAUGCCGCGUGCGUGAAGAAGGUCUUCGGAUUGUAAAGCACUUUAAGUUGGGAGGAAGGGCAUUAACCUAAUACGUUAGUGUUUUGACGUUACCGACAGAAUAAGCACCGGCUAACUUCGUGCCAGCCGCCGCAGUAAUAC
rnacentral:rRNA from 1 species